GCCUUCUGAGUGUAGUGGUCAGCAAACUCGAUUCGUAAACGAGUGGUCCGUGGUUCGAUUCCCGGCGAAGACG
rnacentral:tRNA from 1 species